GACGAACGCUGGCGGCGUGCUUAACACAUGCAAGUCGAACGGUAAGGCCCUUCGGGGUACACGAGUGGCGAACGGGUGAGUAACACGUGGGUGAUCUGCCCUGCACUUCGGGAUAAGCCUGGGAAACUGGGUCUAAUACCGGAUAGGACCACUGCCUGCAUGGGUGGUGGUGGAAAGCUUUUGCGGUGUGGGAUGGGCCCGCGGCCUAUCAGCUUGUUGGUGGGGUGAUGGCCUACCAAGGCGACGACGGGUAGCCGGCCUGAGAGGGUGACCGGCCACACUGGGGCUGGGAUACGGCCCAGCCUCCUACGGGAGGCAGCAGUGGGGAAUAUUGCACCAUGGGCGCAAGCCUGAUGCAGCGACGCCGCGUGAGGGAUGACGGCCUUCGGGUUGUAAACCUCUUUCAGCACCGACGAAGCGCAAGUGACGGUAGGUGCAGAAGAAGGACCGGCCAACUACGUGCCAGCCGCCGCAGUAA
rnacentral:rRNA from 1 species